AGUGAACGCUGGCGGUAGGCCUAACACAUGCAAGUCGAACGGCAGCACAGUAAGAGCUUGCUCUUACGGGUGGCGAGUGGCGGACGGGUGAGGAAUACAUCGGAAUCUACUUUUUCGGGGGGGAUAACGUAGGGAAACUUACGCUAAUACCGCAUACGACCUACGGGUGAAAGCAGGGGAUCUUCGGACCUUGCGCGAUUGAAUGAGCCGAUGUCGGAUUAGCUAGUUGGGGGGGUACAGGCCCACCAAGGCGACGAUCCGUAGCUGGUCUGAGAGGAUGAUCAGCCACACUGGAACUGAGACAGGGUCCAGACUCCUACGGGAGGCAGCAGUGGGGAAUAUUGGACAAUGGGCGCAAGCCUGAUCCAGCCAUCCCGCGUGGGUGAAGAAGGCCUUCGGGUUGUAAAGCCCUUUUGUUGGGAAAGAAAAGCAGCAGGUUAAUACCACGCUGUUCUGACGGUACCCAAAGAAUAAGCACCGGCUAACUUCGUG
rnacentral:rRNA from 1 species